rnacentral:rRNA from 1 species
UUCCGGUUGAUCCUGCCGGAGGUCAUUGCUAUUGGAGUCCGAUUUAGCCAUGCUAGUCGUACGAAUUCAGAUUCGUGGCGAAUAGCUCAGUAACACGUGGUCAAACUACCCACUGGAGCGCAAUACCCUCGGGAAACUGAGGCUAAUGGCGCAUACCGCUCGCUGCCUGGAAGUGGCGCGAGCAUGGAAUGCUCCGGCGCCAGUGGAUGUGGCUGCGGCCGAUUAGGUAGACGGUGGGGUAACGGCCCACCGUGCCGAUAAUCGGUACGGGUCAUGAGAGUGAGAGCCCGGAGACGGAAUCUGAGACAAGAUUCCGGGCCCUACGGGGCGCAGCAGGCGCGAAACCUUUACACUGCACGCCAGUGCGAUAAGGGGACUCCAAGUGCGAGGGCAUAUCGUCCUCGCUUUUCACCACCGUAAGGUGGUGGUGGAAUAAGAGCUGGGCAAGACCGGUGCCAGCCGCCGCGGUAAUACCGGCAGCUCAAGUGAUGACCGCUAUUAUUGGGCCUAAAGCGUCCGUAGCCGGCCAGGUAAGUCUAUCGGGAAAUCUCCCCGCUUAACGGGGAGGCGUCCGGUGGAAACUGCCUGGCUUGGGACCGGAAGACCAGAGGGGUACGUCUGGGGUAGGAGUGAAAUCCCGUAAUCCUGGACGGACCACCGGUGGCGAAAGCGCCUCUGGAGAACGGAUCCGACGUGAGGGACGAAAGCUCGGGUCACGAACCGGAUUAGAUACCCGGGUAGUCCGAGCCGUAACGAUGUCUGCUAGUGUGCCACAGCUACGAGCCUGUGGUGUGCCGUAGGGAAGCCGUGAGCAGACCGCCUGGGAGUACGUCCGCAAGGAUGAAACUUAAAGGAAUUGGCGGGGGAGCAC